AUGCAAAACGAUGGUUUCAAGUGUAUUGCAAAGGAAGCUGACCUGACGCAUGUGUUGUUGAGGUGUGGCAAUGAUCCGGUUGAUGAUUACUUAAUCGACCAGAGCAGAGAGAUACGCACUUGUGCCUUGAGCCUUAUGAACUGCACCUCGGACAAUUCUGUUGCCGCAUCCGCUGCCAUGUUGGGUAUUGCCAAGGAGACCGGAAUUAUAUGUGCGUGGAUAAGUGAAAAUAACAAGCCUGUUGAUUUAUGUCAUUAUUCCGUACCUGAUGAGAUUGAGGACAGCCGCAGGAUCCGGUACCAAACUUUUAAUGCUAUGAUUGACAGACUAGAAGAGUCUUCUGCUGUUGCUGGGCACAAGAUUGAUAAAGAAGAACCUGCUAGUAGAAAUGGUCCUGGUGGUGACGGGGACGGCAUUGCUGCUGCUGGAGCAGCAAACAUCACAGGGGGCGGCAUUUCAGAUGUAUUGAAUUCUCAGUAUAAGAAAAGUAUUAAAGGUGGUGAAAAGAGUGAGAAAGGAAAGAAGGUAACAGAGAAGCUAAUCACCACAAUUUUGGUUACUAUAAGGGCUCUUCAUAUUUCCCUUGCAAUAUCCUUCAUAUGUAAUGUUUUUUGGGUAAUGUUUUGUUUUGGAAGAUCUUUUUGGGAAACUAUGGGGUGGGAAAGGCUGCUGCCACUAUACGGUUCCGUUAAGUGGUCUGACUAUAGCAGCUAUCUUGAGGAGUACUACAAACGCAAUGCUUACGGGUUCAUUGCCGAUGCUGCUGCUGCUGCCAACCAAACUCCCCAGGAUUUGCAAAUCGCAGUUGCUGCUGACAUCUAG
rnacentral:rRNA from 1 species